AUCCCCCCGCCUCAGUCUCCCGAGUAGCUGGGACACAGGACGGGAAGCCUCCCGCACAGGCCCAGCCCUGCUCUGGCUGCCCAGAUCUGCACUCUGCAGCCUCGGCCACAGGAUCAGUUCAGACCCCUCACACCCCUGCCCCCGCUCACCUUGGCGAUGACCAGGGUCUUGCAUCCUGCGUCCUGCUCUGUUCCCAAACACAAGUGUGUACUGACAAGUGCUUGGCUCUUAAAUCACUUCUGUGCUGUGCCCACCCUGGCCCACCCUGCCGGGACCCUCCCUUUCCCACCCUGCCCUGCAGUCCCGUCCGCUGGAGGAGCUGAAUGAUGGAUGAAUCCUUCAUAACUGAUCAGUGAAUUUGCCCGUGGGGCGAAGUUCUGAUGGGCAUUUACAUAGACCUCUGCUGGUUUCUCCUGGACAUGCUGGGAACACAGUGGUGACCACGGAGAUUUUGCACCAUGGCUAUUUAUUUGGCCAAUAAAGACAUAAACAGAUGAACAAGCUCACUGGUACUAUUUUGUGAAAACAGACAUUUAAAUAUAAGCAAGUUCACGGCAGCAUGAUUCACAAUCACCCAAGAGGAGAAAACGCUGAAACAUCGAUCCACUGAUGGAUAAACAAAAUGCCGUGUGGCCGGGCGCGGUGGCUCAUGCCUGU